AUCUACGGCCGUGCUGCCCUGAACAAGCCUGAUAUCAUCUGAUCUCGGAAGCUAGGCAGGGUCGGGCCUGGUUAGUACUUCAAUGGGAGACCACCUAGGAAGACCAGGUGCUGUAGGCA
rnacentral:rRNA from 1 species